rnacentral:lncRNA from 1 species
AGAAUGGAAGAUGUUCAAAAGGGUUUACCAGGUUGAAACCUUAGAAGAGGUCUUUGCUUACAAGAGAAUUAAGGAUGAGGCCAAACCCAAUAAAAUGAUUGAAGGAUCAAUUCAUUGCUCUCAACAAGGAAAAAUACAACCAUGCACGUCACAGUUUCAUUACUCAUCGAUUCAUUUCCAUAUUUCUCUCCUAAUUUGAGAUCAAAUAGAAAGAUUGGGCAAAAAUAGUGGCGCGGAAGUUUUCAACCCCGACAAAAUAUCAUUUGAAGGGAAAGACAGUAAACCGUAACAAGGAAGCUCUCAUCGCUUAUAAAAUGUCACAGGAAGAGAGGGAUAAUAAAAUCGUGACAAGAAAGUUCUUGUUUCCAACCAAAUAUCGUGUGAGCAGAGAAUUGUGAAAAGGAAACUCUCAUCCCCAACCAGAUCCUUUGAUUUAAGAUGAAGCUUAAAUCAUAAAAUUUAAGAAGGUAAAGAUCGACAUACGCAUUAUACACAAACAUUAAAUUCAACAGGAAACAAAGUCAGAAAGCUCUGUAUGAAUUUCCACCGGAAACAAUUAAGAACUGAGUUGCAGGGACCAUAUGGCAAACUUUUUUACCCAGAAAUUGAGACAAAUUAUGUGGAGCAAAAAAUAUUCACAAGGCGACACGUGGGUUUUUUGGACAAAAAGGAUAAAAAUAUCCUUGCAGUACAACGAGGUUCCUACGCGCAAGCAGCGGGCAACCCUCUUUCACCAAGACAGAAGUGCCCAAAAUAGGUAACAAUUCAAAGUCCAUCUCAUCAAAUCCUUUCUACAAGGUAAUUCCCAAACACAUUCCUUUUAAAUUAUGUUAAUUGGCUAAUUAAUGGGUUUAUUGCCUAAUUAACCCAUUAAUUCUCAAUUAAACCAUCCAUUAUAUCCAAAUAACCACAAAUACAAACCAAUUCAACCCUAAAAACAUCACAUGGCCGGCCAUCCCCUUAAGCUUUCUACCUUCCCUAUCUUUCCCACUUUACUACCCCAAUUAAGCUAGCUAAUUGAUUCUAUAACCAUCCAUUUAUUCCCUUUAUGUUUAAUUAGCAAAUUUAUCAUAAUAAAUUGGCUAAUUAAACCUAAAUUAAACCUAAAAACCCUAGCCACCUCCUAUCCCUAUAAAUAUACUCCCAUUCUCACCAAAAAGCUAAGUCCAACACUUUGGCAAAAAUCCCAAAAUUCUCUAAACACUCUUUCUCUCUAAAUUCUAACUUUGGCAUCGGAGGUUCUUCGGCCAAAGCUCCCCCCAUUCAUCGUGGGCGCGUGAGGCUCUUGGCCUUAACCUAAGGUGUUAAUUGUUUUGUAGGUGCAAAAUCGUCCAAGAUCGAGGAGGAAGAAAUUUGCAACCACAAAUUAUAUGUUCAAAAUUAGGGUGCUCGGUGGGAGAAAAAAAUGAGUUUGAACAAUUUGUCCGUGAAUAUAUAAUUAUAUUGACCAAAAAAAGACAACAAUUUGUCCAUAUAGCAACGCUAUCAUAAGCCAAAAAUAAAAAAAAGAAAGCCCUACUAUAAUAUUCAUAAGGUAACUAAUCUCAAACUAAGUAGUAAAAACCAGGAAAUUAAUUGAAAAUUGGACGUCACUGUCUUGUUUGAAAGGAGCUCCUAACUGAACAAAUCGGAAAUUGGACAAUCGUCGUCACUAGUCGCGAAGCCACGUGAGGGUGAGGAGUGGCGGCCGCCACUCCCCUCGCCGGAAAACUGGACUGGAUAUCUGGGUCAGCCCCUCCUCUUGCCGGAACUGAAGCCCAGGAGGAACAAUUCGCCCCUCUGUUCUCGUUCAAAAACCUACCCCCUCCUAAUCAGUCACAAAAUCGAAAAGCACAAUAGGAGGAUGCCUAGGUGGGACUAGAAGGGAUUAGGCAGAGCUAUGCGGAAUCUGAAUUUUUUUUUUUUGCAGAGCCGGCUGCGAGGAAGCAGAUGACUUUGGUCUCAUUAUUGCCCGGUUCAUUUGAGAUGGUCCCACCAUCUUUUUAAUUGCUACGCGUUUUCCUUUAAAUAGUCCGCCAUCUUAUUUCUACUUCUUUUUAUUUCCUUUUAUUUUGUAUUAACCCCAAUAUCACUUUUUAUUCUUUUUUAUUUUUGUGUAAUGUUUUAUUAUACUAUAUAUAAAAGAGAACACCUCAAAAUGGUACAACAUUCAAAAUGCUAUAAAUUGUAGUUCAAGAAUUUUAAAAAUUACAUUGAACCAAAAGGAAUUAAAGUAAUUCACCACAUUGUAAUUUUGAAUGAAUUGAAUUAUUGUUUCUUGGUUAUUGGAAUUGUUAUUACUGAUAAUUUAAUUGUUGAUCAUCAACAUAAUUAUUGUUGAUUAGUGAUAACUUAUAUGAUUAUUGAUCAUUGAUUAAUUCAAUUGUUAGUUUAAUUAGUUAUUAGUCAUAGUAGAAUUUAGAAUUAAUAGUCUAAGUCAUUUUUUUUCUUCUUAUUAUACAGUUAUGUAAUGGAGCGAUAUUAUAAGAAACAGUGCUUUAAUCCUCAUACAAAAUUUUCGCGUAGUAGGUUUGAUAUUUAUGAGUGGUUGGAGUGUAGUAUAGUAAAAAAUGUUGCAUUUUGCUGUUAUUGUUAUAUUUUCUAAUGUGAUUUUUAUAAAGCAAGAAUAUUGGCAGCGAUGUCUCCACUUAGAAAGGGUUUUUAAAUGUAGAUGAUUGAAUUAUGGACGCCAUUACUAUACAAUAGGAUUUGGUUGCUGCCAUUUUUUUUAACUUUGCACUCUUUUACAUUCGCCCCUCCCCUCUACAAUUCCUGGCUUCACCACUGGUGGUCACUCUCUUCCUCAGGUUCCUCCUUCUUAUCCUCCGUAGCAUCUCGUACACCUGGGGCAGGAGCGGCAACAGCACCACCAGCACCAGAAUUCAG